GGGGUUUUGGAGUCUUCCUCCUGGCCUGUCCCCCUCCCGGCCUACAGAAGAUCGGCCUGGGGAUCCCGAGGGGUCGUUAGGGAGGUAUGCUCCCCCCCCGGUUCUUUUUUUGCCUCCCCCUCCCCUGGAAGGGCACCAGACUUUAUGUAAGAAUCCUUCAUCCGGCCUCCAACAGGGGCCGGAGGAGGACAAAGGACCACCCCCCGUGUUCCACCGAGCCGUCGUUGGUCUGGUGACCCGCGGGGAAGUGCGCUGCUCUCGGCACCAGCGCACGCCGUGGGGGAGGACUCACGCCCCCGUCAAAGAAGAAGCUUCAAAAUAAAGCACGACGGCCGCUCCCGCCCCCCACCACCCCGGCGGCGCGAGGGCGAGGCGCGGCGUCGCGGAGGAAUGCUACCUGGUUGAUCCUGC
rnacentral:misc_RNA from 1 species